rnacentral:lncRNA from 1 species
AGAUUAUUAUCCUAAUUUAAAGAUGAGACAAUUAGAGUCACAGAAAUUAAGUGAAUUCUUUAAGGUAUUAAAACUGACCAGAAUCCAACCACAGGAUAUCUGAGUUCAUAUCUCAUACACCUUUCUGCCAAACCAUUCCCUUGAAAUAUGUAAUUAUUCUUUCUUUUUGAGUACAGAACAUACAGAAGACCUGACUACCUAAUAAAAUGUAAGAUUGAUGACUUCACAUAUGCAAAUGAUGGAAUUCUGGGCCUUCAAACAAUGAUUAAGUGAAUUCAAAGCUUCUACAGAGUUAGUCAGUCCAACCUCUUCCUAAAUGUAUUUUUUAUCUCAGACUUUCCCCAGAGACUAGAUUCCAGGUCAUGCAGAAUCAUGUGAAAUCAUGUGGAUAAAGAAAUUUGCCCACUAUAUUAGUGUCAGACAUUCCUGGAUAAAUGGGGAACAGUAUCUUCCUGUUACUGGCUGUCCUUGUGGAAAGAACAAACUUUUAUUAUUCCCUUGGACCAGGAACCUUUCAUAUUCAAUCUCACAGGCAAACUACAGCUUUUUCUGCUAUAACAGAGCCCUACUGACUUUGUCAGUACAUUUCUCACAGAUGCAUCCUAGAAGACCAAUAUCUACCCUGUUAUUUACUCAGAUACGUUUUGAAAUGUUCACCACAAUCUCUAGACACGUGGCUUCUUAAAAAAAAAAAAAAAGGAAAGAAAAAAGAAAGAAAAUGGACUGCCUCUUUAAAGCCCUCUCCUGGAUCCACUCUAGACUAUGCACUGUAUCCAAAACCUUUGUAUCCUAACUGCCCUAUACUCUUCAAUGAUGUCUUCCAAAUCAACAUCAGCAAGUUGUUAUUCAUUGCCUCAAAGAUGCCCAGCAGGCAUUAGACUCUGUAAAGAAAUGAGAAGUAAAAGACUUUCAGAAUUUCUUUUUAAAAUAUCUUAAAUCUUAUUGAAGUAAAAGAAAACAGACUCAUGAAAUAUACAUAUUUUUUUCUAAGAAGAAUGAGUGUAAUCAAAUGUUGAUUGUGUGAUUCUAACAGCAACUGUGUGAGAAGAUAGGAAGAGGGAGCAAUAACUGCUCUAGAUAGAGAGUCUUAAAUUGGAUUUGGAACAAUGGGCAGAGUUACACAGGCUAACCAAAGGAGGUGGAUGUAAUCUGCCAUAUAUCAGAAAGAUGGCAUAGGAGCAGAGUCUACUUAAGGUCACAGAAAGAUAAUUGUCUGGAGUUGGUACGUAAACUAAGAAACAAGUAAUGAGCAUGUCCUACAUGAAGUGAAGCACUGAGCAGGCUAAAUGAUACAGGAUGUGGAUUUGCCAGGUCAGGAUGUACCGUCUAAC